CCCGAAGCAGCCGGGGCGGCUGACGGUUCCGGCCCGUUGGCCCCCCCACCCAGCGUAAUAGGGAGCCGCAAGCCGCCCUAGAUCGGGUGCAGGAGCCUCCCUGGGACCAGGCAUAAAAGUGAGAGCUAAUAGCACAGGCCCAAGCAGAGAUGCCUGAUGGAAAGCUAACCUGGAAUUAAUUUUGGUUUGAGAAAGUCAUCUCCACUGUCAUUCCAAAUCCUAUGGAGUACUUAUGGCCCUGUUUAAUUCUGAAGAUGGUGACCAGUUCCAAAGGGCCAUGGACUGGUGAGAGAAAGUUGUUCAAGGUGUGGCAUCAGGAACAGUACGUGCAUAACUCAGAAUGGAGGAAACAAUUCACUGU